rnacentral:lncRNA from 1 species
AGCUUUGACCCCAAUUCGAAAGGGAUUGUUCCCGUUAACCGAUUCUCAAUCAGUGUAAUGUGACGCAGGGCAGUGCAAUUACUGAUGGAUGCAGGUAUGCUUCCUUCCAAAAAGUUGAUGUGGAGGUACAAUAUCUCCAGCUUUGUUAAUGCUCCUAGCUCCUCUGGAAUCCUUCCUGUGAAGUAAUUAACUUGCAAUUCUAAAUCUGUCAGCUUUGUCAGAUUCGAAAGAAACGAUGGUAUAGCUCCAGUGAGGCUGUUCUCAGAGAGACAAAGGUAUGUCAAGUUUGUCAUUUGGCCUAGUACAGCAGGAAUGCUUCCAGUCAGAUUGUUAUAGUCCAAGUCUAUUGUCUCCAGGCUCCAGCAGCCUUGUAUUGAGGCUGGAAUAUUGCCCCCAAGCUUAUUACCACUCAUGUUUAUGAAUGUUAACUCAGAAAGCUCUCCAAUGGUAGCUGGGAUCUCUCCAUACAAGCUGUUGGCUUGCAAAGAGAGGGUGGUGAGAUGGGAUAGAUUGGAUAUGUAUGGUGAGAUAACUCCCUGUAAGCGCAUGUUUAUGAGCUCAAUGGCUAUGACCCGGUUCUUAAGUUGCUGGUGGCAUGUAAUCCCUGUCCAGUUGCAGAAGAACCUGGUUUCAUUCCAAUCUUGGAGAUGACCAUCUGGAUCACCUGUUAUGCCUUGUUUGAAUUUGAGCAGAGAUUGACAAUCAGUGGAGUUUUUGCAGAGGAAUGUGGAAGUUGAUAGUAGAGCAAGACAACUAAGAGAGAAAAACACUGCCACAGCAACGGGAUUGUUCUGAUUGUAUGCCAUUCUCUCUCUCUCUCUCUCUCAGUGUGUGUGUACAGCUUUUGGAAUUCGAUGUUAGAUUUCAGGCCAAAAGUUUUUUUUCUCACUUGUUAGGUAAGAUGGGAUGAACAAUCAAUUUUCUUAAAAGUUUAAACUUAACGUGUAUCAUACUUUUCAACACUCGACGGGAUCAAUGGUAGAAGUUUAAAUAGAUGGGCUCAGUUGCUCAAAUGGUUCAGACAACUUGGCCUAGUGAGGGGCAGGUGGUGAGCCCUCAUUUAUCACUGGGACCAUAGAGCAAGACUUUUUGGUAUUGCCAUCACCUGUCUUAACUUCAUUCAACCUCUUCAAUGCUGUUUGACAUUUUCUUCCGUGACAGAAUUAAUAGCUAUGCAGUUUCCCAAAAUUUGCUCCGAACCCAUUGUCAUUUUUUUUUCUUCAUAUUUUAUAUUUUGUAUUUAUUUAUUUUUAUAUUAUUAUCAUUUAUUAUUUAUUUUAUUUUUCUUUCUUUUUCUUUUAUUUAUUUUAUUUUCUUCUUCCUUUCUUCCUCCAUGCAUGCACUACCAUUGUCACUUUUUUCUCUUUCUAAGGAUUUGCAAUUGACUCUAUUGAUAUUUUGUUGGUUGAGCAUGGAUUUAUGACUUAUAACACACACAUGGAAGGUUGAAUUUCAUGAAAGAAAAUGAGGGUUAGAAAAAUAAUAAAUGGGAAACAUUGAGCUUAUUGUGGGUUUGAUUUGGUACAAAUUCUUUUGUAUAUAUCUACUUGGGUAUACAAUUGAAUAUUUAAUUUAGGAAAAUUCAAAAAAUUGUUUUCAAUGAAAUUAAAAAAAAAAAUUAAUAACAAUUGCCUGGAAAUUUAUUUAUUUAAUAAACAUUGUUUUGUCAAUAAAAUUGUCAUCAAAGUUAAUUUUUAAUAAAAUUAUCUAAAAAAGUGAAUUUAUAAAUGAAAUUCUAUUUCCUUAAUUUAAAUGGGAUAAAAAGUAAUUUUUGUAAAUUAAAGUCUUAAAUAAUUUUUUCAUAAUAAUAGAACGAGAAUCUUUUUAGCAAAUUGAACUUAUACAAAUUAUUUUCUUUUCGUAAAUAAAGUUUGUAAAGAAAUUAUUUUCUUUAUAAAUAAAAUCAAAAUGAAAUAUUUUUACAACUAAAAGAAUAUUUAAUUGAGCAAGUGAUGAACUAUUUGCUUGUUUAAGUAACCUUUUGAAAUGUUCCCUCAGCAUAAUGGUAGUACAAUAAGAGGGUUUAUUAUGUACUUCUUUCUAUAUGGACUUUGGGUAUAAUAAAAACAAUGCUUUCUCUCUCUCUCUCUCUCUCUCUCUCUCUCUCUCUCUCUCUCCCCCUAGUCCACAGGUUUACACCCUCAGCUUUACCCUGGACUAAGUCCUGAAACCCAAAGAUUAUGCAGAAUCAAACUCUUAAAGUCUACAGCAUGAGUUGAAGAAAAAAGGAUGAGUAUUUAAUGUAGUAGUUGAGGAAUGAUUCAAUGUUUGAAAUAUAAAAAAUGCAAUCCAUUGAACACUUAGCUGGACUAUCUGCUUAUUGUAUACAUAAAACAUAGACUAAUCCGAAGACUUCUAUGUUAUAACUUUAGAAUUUUCAUAUCCAAGGUUUUCACUUCUUUCUCAUCAGAAGACAAAGAUUGUAACUGUUGCAGAAAACCUAACAACCUAGUUUAUUUGUUAAGGUCCCUUUCUCUCAUAAGACAUAAAUAUAUUCACUAUCAAACACCAUAAUGAUAAUAAUAAUGAUCUUCUUUUUGCUGUAUAUACACUACUUUAGAGUUUGUUCAAUGUUUGGUUACCAAGAAAACAGAAGGACUGAUCUGCUGCAUUAAAAGGUUAAGUAAUCCUGAAUACUUUCACUUCAUUUUGCCAUAUGUAGUUCUUCCAUUAGCUAGCCAUUUGGAACUAAAUCUUGUGGAGAACUUUUCAUAUUGGAGAUGGAUAUGAAAUUGGAUCUGCCUCCACCUCAUUGAACUUCACUUUCAACAUAUGCAUUGAGAAUAUUUAAGUUAAGAUCAGUAUACUAACUAACCCUACAUAAAUUAACAUGUAUUGGUGAAAACACUUAUCCUUGUAAGUGAGAAAGCAAAAAAAAAAAAAGAAAAAAAAAAAAGACCUACCCAUUGAAGACCAUCUAUAAAUUGACAUGUUUCUCAUGCAAAAAUUUUCACCCCUCACCUAAACACAAAGAUUUGUGAUUGUUUGGAGACAGUACUCUAACAAUGGAGAAAGGUGUUAGUUUCCUAGUAACUGUGGCCCUCAUGGCAUUGGCUUCAUCUUUUGCCUCUGCCUCUGAUCCAAGCCCACUGCAGGACACUUGCGUUGCCAUUGGGGAACCCAAGAAUGCUUGUAUUUCUUUAGUAACCAAUGAACUUGUCACUAUUUUCACUGAUCUUUCCAAUUCAAUAUUGGGCACAUUAAUGCAGUAGCCAUUGCUGGUCUAAGCAGCCAAAAUCCAGGUGUAAUCACCAUAUCCAAUGCAGUGUUUGGAUCAAAUCCACCAAUCAAUCCUGAUUUCCUGGCAACGGCCUUCCAGUUGGACAAGAAGGUGGUUGAAUUCCUUCAAGCACGAUUCUAGUGGGGAAAUAGAGAAAAUGAAGAAGCUAUGAACCUUUGAUUUGCUUGCUUGAAUGACUAUUUGUGAUGUUCAAUUACCUCAUUACAAUAAGAGGGGUUUAUUACUUUAUUUUGUAGCUCUUUUGGUGUGGACUUUGGUCCUAAUAUUAAAAUAAAGCAGUUUGUCUGUUAUGCAUCUUCUUCUGUCUCCAUCUCAAUAUUUGUCUUAAAAAAUCUUAUCUUGUGAAAAAACAACUCUCAGUUGAUUGAUUAACCUGCAUGUGCAGAAUGUUUAUUAAGAAUGAAUACUUAACUAGUUGUAAAACAGUACUACUGCUACUUCCAGCAUACUGCUGGCAGAAUUGGUGAUGAAGGAAUGAACAUUGAGGCAACAACUGCUGAGAAUUCAAAAAUAAAAAAGAUGCCAUUUUGCUUCUCUAUAUUUUCCCAUUAUAACUCAUCAACCGAGAUCGAAGAAACUAAUUAAGAUGUCCAAGUAAACCAUUUGAAUGGUGGGAGAAGCAUAAGUGUCAUGAAAAUUGUGAAGAAAGAAUGGAAAUGAAAACCCAGAAAUCUUAUGACAUCUACUGUAGACAAAUUAAUGUCUUAAAUAAUCUUUUCAUAAUAAUAGAACGAGAAUCUUUUUAGCAAAUUGAACUUAUACAAAUCAUUUUCUUUUCAUAAAUAAAGUUUAUAAAGAAAUUAUUUCCUUUAUAAAUAAAAUCAAAUUGAAAUAUUUUUGUAAAUAAAGUUCUAAAAAUUCAUUCUUUUUCUAGUAAAAGUAAGUCAAAAUAAUUUUUAUUGUCAAAUUGGAAUUUUUUGAAUAAAUUCUAUCCAAAUAAAAUUCAAUCAAAUCAUUUAUUGGAAAUAAAUAAAUAAAUUAAAAUCUUGAAAAAGUAAUAUUUAAAAUAUCUUUUUGUAAUCAAUUUAAUAAAUCGGGGUGUAUAAUUCUAAUGUCAUUUAUUUUGUACAUUUUUGUAAUUUAAUUUUAUAAUUAUUUUCUUGUAUAUUAAUUUGUGUCUUUAAUCUUGAUAUUCAUGAUUGAUCAAUUAACUGUCAUAAUUCAUUUUGUUUGUUUAGUAAAGAUUGUUAGUAUACAUGCUUAGAGGGGUAUUACCACUUAUUAUUGUACCUUUCUGAUAGACAACUUGACCCUUGAAUAUAGACUUGAUUUUACAGACAUGUCUUUUCUAAAUGAGGAUUUAUACAAAAUUUUCUUUCUUAUUUUAUUUUCUCUUUUAAAAAAUAAAUUAAAAUAAGUGGCAAUCCUAAUUUUUUUAUAUAAAAAAAAAAAAUCAAAAUUUCACAAUAAAAAUGAGUCUCACUGUCGAGUGGGAACACACGCAAAAAAUACGGGUCAACAUGUAUCCAAUUGAUUGGGGUCAAUGUCAAGAUGUAUGAUAAAGAUGCAAAAUUUGAAUAUGAAUCCUACCAUUGAUUGAAUCUUGAACUACCUGAUACUGGUUGUAACAAGUGAGAUAAGUUGCUAAGGUUUGCAUUGAAAUCCUCAAUUGAAAGUUACUAGUCAUCCAAAUAUGUAUAUAAAUCAAAGUGCACACAAUUGAUUUUCUUUCUCUUCUAAAUCCAAGAAAUCAACCUCCUUAAGCAAAAGACCUUAGAAUUCUUAGAGUGUGUUUGAUAGUGAUUUUAGGAAGUGUUUUUAACUUUUUUAAUAAUUGAAAAAUAAGAAUUUUGAAGUGUUAAAAAUGUUAGAAACGCUUCCUAAAAUCACUAUCAAACGCACUUUUAAUGUAAUUUGCUCUAUGUACCACUUGAUGUGGAUGUUAAGAUUGAUAUCCUUGGUCAUUGCCUAUAAUCCUAUAUCUAUAAUAGCAAGAAGACAUACAUUGAAACAUGAAUACCCUUUCACUAUGUUUGGUUUAUGGAAAAUACUAAGAAAAGAAAAUGUUCUGAAAAAUGUUUUUCUUAUAUUUAGUUUUAUUAUGAAAAAUAAGAAAAAAAUAAAAUAUAAUUAUAAUUAAUUAAAAUUUUAUGUAUUUUAAAAUUAUUUAAUAUUUAUAUAAUGAAGGAAAAUAAAUGAAACAAGCUUGAAAAAGUAUAUAAAAAUAAUUUAUUAAUUAUAACUUGUAUGCGACUAUUUUGUACUUUAAUCCCGUUUUUCUUUUAUUCUCUUGUAGGUACCUUGAUUUUAUAUAUUUGUAUCUUUAUUCGAUGAUUUAGAUUUCAUAUAUUUGUAUCUUUAAUUGAGAUUGCAAGAUCCGUACGGAUUCAGAUUAGGGAUGACAACGGUAUGGGCUUGAGGCAAGUUACUCAUAUCCCAAUCCAUUAUAUUUAUUCGUAUAUGUUAUCAUCCCCACCAAAAAAAGAAAUUAAAUGGGAAUAGGAAAUUCUCAUGCCUACCCCAUGCUAUCCCAUUAUUUAUUUAUUUAUUUUUCAAUUUUUAUUUCUAAAAUUUUAAGAAAAUUAAUAUUUUAAAUAUGUUAAAAAAAUUGAAAACUGAAAAAAGAAAUCAAUUAAAGAACUUUUUAUUUAACAUUAUACAUAAUUAGGCUGAGGUAGGAUGAAACAAACUCAUACCCAAAAUCACCCUGAAUCAAUCUUGGGUUUUUAAAAAUUUCUCAAAUUCAAGAUGAGACAAAAUCAUAUCCAAAACUAUCUCGAAUCCAUCCUAGAUUUUAAAAAUUUUCUCUAAUUUAUCUAAACUUUAUAUCAUUAUCUCAAAACGAGUACAUUAAGGGUAUGACAAGUACUAAAAAAAAAUUGGUAUAUUGUCAUCCCUAAUCAAGAUCCUAAAAUUUUUCUUUAUGAUAAUGAAAACAACAAUCAUAGUCGUCAUCUCUCUAUCAGUGUACUUUUUAGGUUUGAUCGAAUACACCUUAUGUGUUGCCUUUGGGGCAACCUAGCUCUCUCAAUCAUUGUCUAAAGUUCGGGUGUUUGUUUGUUUUAAUUUUUUUCGACUUUUUUUAAUACUAAAAGUAACUUAAUGACUUUUUUUUAACUUUUUAGUACUUAAUAAAAAUAAAAUAUUAAAAAACCAAAAACUGUGAUGUUUAAUACUUUUAAACACUAUAUAAUUUUAAGUUUUAUUCAAAAUUAAGUAAAAAAGAAAAAAAAAACACUCCUUUGAUGGUCAUCUAAAACUUUUAGGUCAAAGCUUGAUUUGGAGCUCAUUUAAACCUAACCCAAACUUCAACUAAAAAGACCUAUGUCCAACACAAUUAUUAGAGGUGUCCAAUGGGUCAUGUCGGGCCAACACAACCCAUGUUUAUCAGGCCAAUGCGUUGGCUCGACCCAUGCAAGCCAAAUAGGUGGCUUGACAUGGCCCAUAAACCCAUGGGCUAAUCAUGUCGUGUUGUGCCAUGUCGGUGAGUCGCCCCAUGGGCCACACACUUUAAUUAUUAUUUUUUAAUUUAUUUUGUCUUAAGUUUUUUAUUAUUAAAUAAAAUUUCUUUUUGUUACUUUAAACACCUCUAAUAAUUAUACUUUUUAUUUUUUAUAUUUAUAUUUAUCAAGUUUAUAACUGUAAAAUUUAUAAAAAUGUUAGUUUUUUGUUUUUAAAAAUAAUAAAAAGUGAUAUUUAAAGGGUUAAGUGGGCCAACAUGAUGGCACGACGGGUUGUUUCCUUAGGCCCACCACGACCCGCUCCUUUGGGCCAUGCCGGCCUGACUCGAUCUUUUGGCGCACUAGGCCACAGGCCAAAAUGGGUGGCUCGACCCAUUGGACACCUCUAGUAGUUACAUGUCUAGCAUCCAAACGGUAGACCAGGUGAGUUUUGUCAAACCCAACCCAUUCAUCCCCUUUGCUUCAUGUUGGCCACCCGGUUCAGACCAACCAUUGGGUUGAUUUGGGGUCUUGGUUAUUUUUGUUUAAAUAAAUUGCAAAGAAAAAAAAAACUUGGUUUGGAUAAAUAAACUUAAGUUGUUUUUAAAAUAAGCUUUUAUUUGAUUUUUUCUAAAAAAAUUUAUAAAUUCAAUUUGUACAAUAUUAAUUAUAUUUAAUUGAAGUCUUAUUAAAGAUUUAAAAAAAAAUAGUUUUUAAAUUAAAGAUAAAUUAAAAAAAAUCAUAAAAUAUGAAAUUAAUAUUAUAAUAAAAUCAUAAAUUAUGAUUUUUAUUUAAAAUGAUACUAUUUUAAGAUAUGAUUGAUUUAUUUAUUUUGAUAAGAAUGAAUAAUACUAAUUUUAAAAUAAUAAAAGGGUGAUAUAGUUUAUUUGAAAUAAAUUUAAAAAUAAAUAAAAUUUAUUUUUUUAAUACGUAAAUAAGCGAAGUUUUUCAUUAUAUCUACACCUGAGAAUUUAAUCAAGGAUAUAGUAUUUUGAACUAGUUUUGAUUCAUUCCUAUAAUCUUCAUUCAGUCAUUAUGGUUUAGACAAUUGAUAAUUAAUCUGUUGGCAUAAUUGAUUCUGCAAAACAGUAUCCUGAAUUUAGUAUCGAGGGAGGCAGAAACACAGCGAGAGAGAGAGAGAGAGAGAGAGAGAGAGAGAGAGAGAGAGAGAGAUGAUGCUUAACAAUUAACAGACUGCAGACUGCUUUAUUGUAGUAAUAUGCCCAAAGUCCACACCAGAAGAGUUACAACCAGACCCUCUUAUUAUACCAUGUUUGUUACAAUGAGGGAAUUGAACAUCAUGAAUCGUCAUUCAAGCAAGGAAAUCAAAGGUUGACAGCUUAUUCUUUUUCUAUAUUUCCCCACUAGAAUCGUGCUUGAAGGUAUUCAACCACCCUCUUGUCCAACUGGAAGGCCCUUGCCAGGAAAUCAGGAUUGAUGGGUGGAUUUGAUCCAAACAUUGAACUGGCUAUGGUGAUUACACCUGGAUUUUGGCUGUUAAAAGCGGCAAUGGCUACUGCAUUAGUGUGCCCAAUGUUGACUUGGAAGUGAAUGAGACUGAAAGGGAACACAAAAACAUCCCCCUUGUUCAGGACUUUGCUAAUGAAGCGGUGUUCAGGGUUGGAUGUGAUAAAGCCAACAAAGAGUGUUCCCUCCAAGACAAUGAAGACCUCACUGGCACGAGGGUGAAAGUGAGGAGGGUUUUGACCAUUAGGUUCAUAAUCGAUACGAGCCACUGACACCCCAAGAGUGUUUUCUCCUGGUAAUUGAUCAACAUUUAUAAGAUUGACAAUUGAGCCCACAUAAUUUGAUGUGUUUCCUGGAAUAUUCAGCCCUUGAUACAAGAAAUCCUCGGCCACGGUCAGGUUUGGGUUCUUGCAGAACUUCCCAUUUACAAAUACUGCAUGAAGAAGGAAAAAAGAAAAGAUAUAUCAUUAGUAUCAAACCAUACUCACCAUAUCAAUAAAAAGAGAAGUACUGAAAAUAGCUAUAAGAUCAUUGGUUACUAUAGAAAUACCAGCAUUAUUGGGCUCAUCAACGGCAACACAGGUGUCUUCCAGUGGGCUUGGAUCAUAGGCAGAGGCAAGAAAGGAAGCCAAUGCCAUGAAGGCCACGGUUACCAGGAAACUAACGCCUCUCUUCAUUGUUAGAGUACUGCCUCCAACAAUCACAAUCUUUAUCUUUAGGCGGGGAUAAGAAAUUUAGCAUGGAAAAGAUGUUAAUUUAUAGACCAGAGUCGAUGAGUUAGUCUUUGCAUAAACUCACCAAGUCUUCAAUGGGAAGUUUUUUCUUCUUUCUUUUUUCACUUUCGAGGACAAGCGGUUGCACCAAUACAUGUUGAUUUACGUAGGAUUAGUCAGUAAACAGAUCUUAACCAGAAUAUAAAGCAAUGUACAAUCAGGUGGAGGCAGGUCCAAUUUAAUAUCAAUCUGCAUGAUCCAAACGUUUACAUUGUUUCAACAUUUUUGUAUUAUGGUUUUUAUGAACUGUGUUUUUUUGAGUUGUAAGGAAGAAAAACUUAGGUUUAAAGUUCUAGCAUAGAAGAAAAAACCUGUAGAUUAAUUGAUUUUUUAAUCUGAACCAAACACAUGAUCAACUCCAUAAAAACAAGUGGAAAACAAGAAAAAAUGAAUGAUUUUUAAUAUGUAUUUGUGUGAGAAUGAUAGGUAUAGAUUUUUUUUUGAGAUAUACUGCCACAUAAUCUUCAUCCCUUCUAAAAAACGAGAGAGAAAAAAAAAAGAAUGAUUUUUCUGUUUGUAUCUAAGUGAGAAUGAGAUAUAGAAUUUCACUCCAGACGCAUUAAUUUUAUCUCAUACUGCCAUGCUAGACCAAAUCAGCCCUUAACGACAACCACACUGUUUUGUGGGGGGGGGGUUACUUUUGUUCCAUUAUAUUCACAGAAUCUUCAAAUCCAUUCUUUGGAUUAAUCUGCAUGAGGAAAUCUGUUACUGUUAGUGACGGAAACCUGUUAUUGUUAGUACCGGAGUCAACUGUUUGACUGGGUGGGUUCCAAUCAGAUCCUAAGGAAUGGGUCCAAAGGUCAUCCAUUAGAGUUAAUGGAAUUCAUUGUUGUUCUUGUGCCUUGAUGUGUGAGCCCAACACGCACAGAUGCAACUAGGGAUGGCAACGGGGCGGGUUUUUUCGGGUACCCGCCCUGCCCCGCCCCUAAUGGGAUGGGGUUGAAAUUUAAUAAAUGGGUUUUUAACGGGUAUAAGAUUUUUUUUUUUAAACCCGGGGCGGGUUCGGGUAUUGCCCCAUCCCGCCCCGCCCCGCCCCGCCCCGCCCCGCCCCGCCCCGUUUACAUAUAAAAUCAAUUUUAAAAUUUAAUUUAAUUUAAUUUAAAUUUUAAAAUUAAUUUUAUUUUACUAUUUUUAAUAUAUAGAUAAUAAAAAAAAAUUAAUAAAAUAAAUUAUAAAAAAUAUAAUAAUUUUAUUAUUUAUAAAUAUAUUUAUUUUAAUGUAAUUAAAAAUUUUAAAAGCAAUUUUUUUUUUUUUUAAAAAGGAGGCUAAACAGGGCUGGGCGGGGCGGGUUUGGGAAUUUCCCAUACCUGCCCCGCCCCGCCCCGCCCUGCCCCGUUUAAUUUUUUAAACGGGACGGGGAUGGGAAUUAUUUUUAAUAAACGGGGCGGGGUUGGGAUGGGGGCGACCCGUCCCGAACCUGCCCCGUUGCCAUUCCUAGAUGCAACAGUAUGAGUCAUGUGCAGGUAGAUUUGAAUAGACACAUCUUGGCAUCGGGAUGGCUUGAGCAAGGUGUAGUCUCCUACAAUAGGAAGCAUGGUGAACUGAUGCAUCACAUGAGCAAGACUCCUAUUGCAUGAGACAUACUCCUAUCACAUGAGACUUCUAGUCAAAGUGGGAGAUUGAGACCUAAUAUUGCAGGAAGAGAAAGGGACUCUUGACAUGAGAAGACUCCUAAUCGGGAUAGAAAACUAAAUCUUCAUGCAUAAGGAGAUAGAGAGAUGUGGCAUGAGAGUUUUAGAUUCAGUAGGACUUGGAGUCCUACUCAAAUUUGUCAUCUGUUAAGCUUGAGUCGGACGCAAACUAGGACUCAAAAGUUAGUCUCCUAGUAGGAUUAGGAUGGCUUGGUGCAACCUUCAUAAAAGGAGGGCGUGACCCAAUAGGAUGCUCCAAAAAUGGUACCUUACGUGAUAGGAAGGCCCCUUCAAAAGUCAUAUUGCUUGUACCACCAAGACACCACCACUAAGUAUUUGUCCAUAUCUUAAUCCAUGUGUGCAUGGAGAUGAACAUAAAUAUAUAUAGAAAAGAUAAAUAUUAGAAGACAAGUCUCCACAAAGAGACAAAAAUAUAGAAGGCUUCGGUCAACCAAUCCCGCUAUGCGUGGCAAAUGUUUCAGGGGACUGCGUAGGAUUGAACAGCCUUUGCUAGAGGGAAGAUCAAUCUAUGGGCGUGAAUAAAGAGAGAACUGGAGAAGUAUUGGAACAGGCGGGUCACCUCAGUUGACCAGGAAACAUGGCAUUAGUCAACGCAAACCUUGGCUUUCGAUCUCUACAUCGGUGCUGAAUAUUGUUGAACGGAAACACGUGGCCAGCUACAUUGGUUCUAGACAACAAAGGCUGCAACAAUUAACCUGAAAUUGAAAAUUUUGAAAUUUUUUUGAAAACAUAACAUCUUAAGAUGACUGGUAACCUUCUCUUAUUGGUUGGCUCUAAAUCAAAACCACUAUACAUGCAUUGUUCAAUGUAUAUAUGAUGUAGCAUUUUUGUGUUUUGUCUUUUACAAGUUGUAUAUAUUGGAAAAUUCUGACACCAUACAAAAACAUAGAAAAGCCACAAAUACCGCAACUUGCAUAUUUUCAUUUUAUGGCUGAAACUUUUCAAUGAAUCAUUAUCUUUAUUUCAAACUUUAAAAUUUUGAAAACAUAACAUCUUAAGAUGACUCGUAACCUUCUCUUAUUGGUUGGCUCUAAAUCAAAACCACUAUACAUGCAUUGUUCAAUGUAUAUAUGAUGUAGUAUUUUUGUGUUUUGUCUUUUACAAGUUUUAUAAAUUGGAAAAUUCUGACACCAUACAAAAACAUAGAAAAGCCACAAAUACCGCAACUUGCAUAUUUUUAUUUUAUUUUAAUUAUUUAUAGUUGAUUAGGUUUAUGGUAUGCCAUGUUGGAUGCUUUCAGAUUUUACAGAUCUAAGUUACUUUUAUUUUGAGAACGAAUAUUCCAUAAUUCAACCUUUUCCUUUUCUUGUUGGUAAUCAUGAUACAUAAAAUCUAGGAAUGCUAAACACAUCUUUUUUAAAAGUACUAUAUUGUAUUACAAUAGGAAAUGGCUUUUAUCAAAAGAGAAAUAUCCUUAAAUUGAUUAGGCCUAGCUCAUACUUUCAUCAACCAUAUGAUGACAUGAAAAAAAUCAAAGAAGAAAUAUGGGAAAUGGUACGAAAAGAGAUGGGUAGUAAUAACAUGAGACAACAACUUGUUUUACAACUAGUUGUAGCAGAAAAACCAAUGUUUAAAAUGAUAGAAGAGCCCCAACCACCAGAACCACCACUGAAACACAAGGUAUGCAUUUACUUACUAAUAAUACAAGAUUAAUAUAAGUGACAUAAAGCCUAUGUAAAUGAUAUUAUUUGUUGUAUUGAAGGUAAUUAAAUGUAAAUUAGCAGUGGAAAGAAAAGAAAAUGUUGUUCCAACUGGUACACUAAUAGAAGAAAAAGGAUCGAAUAGGUUGGUUGUAAUAAAUGCUGCACACAAGCCAGAUGCUAGACUCCCAUUUCCAAAUCCAUAUGAGAUUAUCAAUGUUGGGGAUGCUAUUGGCUUUGAGCUUGACUGGCCAACAAGCCUUGUCAUACUUGAAACUGAACAUCCUUAGGUAUGUCAUUUUAUGCCUAUAGUAAAUUUGAUUGUAACUUGGUAUUUUAUUGUUUAGGAGUAUAUAUAUCUAACAUUCCUUCCUUUUUCAUAGGUGUUGGAUAAAGGAAAGAAGAAGAUAGUGAAGACACCAAUUUUUUGAAAAUCUAAGCCUCAAAAUCAUUCGGUCAUUAAAAAUUUUCAAAAAUUUGUGGAUGGUUGUCUUGGUAAUGACAAGACAUACCCAAUACAGCUCCCCAUUUCACUUUUUGGUGUCGAAUUUCAAACAUAUAUAUCUAGAGAGGAUUGUGAAUACAUUAUUUCAUCUUUAGAGGUGUCAUCAAACUGCAUCUCCUUCUAUUUAUGGUGUGCACCUUUUAUUUUCAUUUGUUUUUAUUUUUUUAAAUAUGAGUUGCCCAUGUUGAACGAAAUUGGAUAUGACUAAUGAUAAUUUUCUUUUGGUGUUUUGAUACAAUAAUAGGCACAUGCAUGAUCAACUACAUAUUGCCAAAAAGGAAUCACAAUUUAUAUUUGUUAAUCCUUUUACAAUAUCACGAGCAAGCCUUAGUACUCAUCAAACAGAGAAAAGAGCACAAUUGUUGUCAAAACGCUUAAUGGAGUGCCAAGAUGCUAAAUAUGUUUUCAUACCUUACAACCCUGAGUAAGUGACAAAUAUUAUACUUUAAUUUGAGGUUUUAUGAUUGAUUUAUAUUUCUAAUUAGACGCUACUUUUGUUUUUAAUGUUUUAGCUUUCAUUGGGUCUUGGUGGUGAUUGAGCCAAGGAAAAUGAUAGUCCACUAUCUUGACCCUAUGCAUCACAAACUAUUUGAGGACUUAAAGAAUAUCGUAAACAUGUAAGUUCUUCCUAUUAUUUUUCAUAGUAUUAUUUUUUUUUUUUUAUAAAAAAUACAUUCAUCUCAAACACAUUGAACUUAUUUACAUAGGGCACUUCGAAUAUCUACAAAGAAAACAUCUAAAAGGGAGCCAUCUUGGCAACUAGUGCAGGUGACAUCCAAAAAAUUUUCUUUACACAUUAGCUUAUGCAUUUGCACCAUUUAUAUAUAUGAGUACUAAUGUUAUUUUAUAAUUGAUCGAUUAGUGUCCAAGACAAGAAGGAGGGUUCGAAUGUGGCUACUUUGUUAUGAGAUUCAUAAAAGAGAUAAUUUUUUAUCCUACAAUUAUUGCUUCAAAGGUAUUACAAAUUUAAUGAAUUGUACAUAGUUUUAGGCUUCCAAAUGUUAUGCAUUUUAAUGUUAUUUUCUUAUUUGAUUUCAGUUUGGUGAUAAAAAAACAUAUUCUCAAGUAGAAUUCGAUGAAAUUAGAGAAAAAUGGGCUACUUUUGUGCUACAACUAAUCAUGAAUCAUGUUGAUGCAUCAUGAUCACCAUGCAUGGUGAGUCCUUUAGCUACUACAUGAAUUUUUCCAUAGGUUCUUUGAAUAAUGUUUCUAUUUGAAAAAAAAAAAGAAAAAAAAAUAGUUCUUAGAUUUUUUUCAUUUAUGAUAACAUCGAUCCAUGUUUAUUUUCUUCAAUAAAAAUCUAUAAAACUCAUUAAACUAUGAAAUGCAAGUAUACACUUUUGGGAUGGUGGAAUGGAGAAUAAAAAGAAAGAAGAAGGCAACAAGAUUUUGGGUUUUUAAAUGCAACUCUUAUGUCAUACGUUGUAGGACAUAAAUGUUAAUUUAAUUAGUACUGAGAAAUUUAGAUUUUUAGAUGGGACUUUUAUGUCAUUUUAUAGUUAGCCGGUUUUAUGCUUAUGAAUUGGAGGUAUACAUGAAUCUUGGGAUCUUUAACAUUUCUAAAUCAUGUUUUGGUAUGUAUUCACUCUUCUUUUUUUAGUUUUGAUGGGUUUGAUAUGUUGGAUGUACUAUCUUUUUGUGAACAUUUGAUAUACAAAUAUUAUUAGAUGAUCAAUGUAUUAUGAGUUAUUCUAGAAACAUUACAGAAAAAUGAGUUAAAUAUAAUAUUAUUGUUAUAUUUAUGGACAAAAAAUAAAUAGGUUAAUCUUACUUAUUAAUUCAUAAGCAUUACAAAAAUUUAUAACUAAAAGCAAUCAUAUCUUCCACAAUAAUUUACAAUGAUGUGACACCAUUACUCAAAGGUGAUGCAUUUAAUAUGACAUUAUAAUUCAAAGAUGAUGCAUUUAAUGCGAUACCCUCUCAUCACUAGAAAUAUAUGGUGUCACUUCCGAAUGGGUCACCAUUUAUCUACUUUGGUGUCACUUCCAAAUACGUUACCAAUUGGUACCCUCUAUGGUAUCAGUGGAGAAGGUGACGCUAUGUUGUAGUGACACCCUAUGUUUAUGGUAACUCGUUAUAAAUGUCACCAUAUAUCUUUUUCCCUAUAGUGUAUAGCUCCAGUGAGGCUGUUCUCAGAGAAACAAAGGUAUGUCAAGUUUGUCAUUUGGCCUAGUACAGCAGGAAUGCUUCCAGUCAGAUUGUUAUCGUCCAAGUCUAUUGUCUCCAGGCUCCAAUAGCCUUGUAUGGAGGCUGGAAUAUUGCCUCCAAGCUUAUUACAACUCAUGUUUAUGAAUGUUAACUCAGAAAGCUCUCCAAUGGUAGCUGGGAUCCCUCCAUACAAGCUGUUGCCUUGCAAAGAGAGGGUGGUGAGAUGGGAUAGAUUGGAUAUGUAUGGUGAGAUAACUCCCUGUAAGCGCAUGUUUAUGAGCUUGAUUGACUCUAUUGAUAUUUUGUUGGUUGAGCAUGGAUUUAUGACUUAUAACGCACACGUGGAGGGUUGAAUUUCAUGAAAGAAAAUGAGGGUCAGAAAAA